rnacentral:rRNA from 1 species
AGAGUUUGAUCAUGGCUCAGAAUCAACGCUGGCGGCGUGCCUAACACAUGCAAGUCGCACGAGAAAGGGGAGCAAUCCCUGAGUAAAGUGGCGCACGGGUGAGUAACACGUGAAUAAUCUACCUCCGAGUGGGGAAUAACCUAGAGAAAUCUGGGCUAAUACCGCAUAACACUUACGAGUCAAAGCAGCAAUGCGCUUGGAGAGGAGUUCGCGGCCGAUUAGCUAGUUGGCGGGGUAAUGGCCCACCAAGGCGAUGAUCGGUAUCCGGCCUGAGAGGGCGCACGGACACACUGGAACUGAAACACGGUCCAGACUCCUACGGGAGGCAGCAGUGGGGAAUUUUGCGCAAUGGGGGAAACCCUGACGCAGCAACGCCGCGUGGAGGAUGAAAUAUCUUGGUAUGUAAACUCCUUUCGAUGGGGAAGAUAAUGACGGUACCCAUAGAAGAAGCCCCGGCUAACUUCGUGCCAGCAGCCGCGGUAAUACGAGGGGGGCAAGCGUUGUUCGGAUUUAUUGGGCGUAAAGGGUGCGUAGGCGGUUUGGCAAGUCUUAUGUGAAAUCUUCGGGCUCAACCCGAAGCCUGCAUAAGAAACUGCCGGGCUUGAGUAUUGGAGAGGUGAGUGGAAUUUCCGGUGUAGCGGUGAAAUGCGUAGAUAUCGGAAGGAACACCUGUGGCGAAAGCGGCUCACUGGACAAUAACUGACGCUGAUGCACGAAAGCUAGGGGAGCAAACAGGAUUAGAUACCCUGGUAGUCCUAGCCCUAAACGAUGAUUGUUUGAUGUGGCAGGUACCCAAUCCUGCCGUGUCGAAGCUAACGCGAUAAACAAUCCGCCUGGGGAGUACGGUCGCAAGGCUGAAACUCAAGGGAUUUGACGGGGGGCCCGCACAAGCGGUGGAGCAUGUGGUUUAUUUCGACGCAACGCGAGACCCUUACCUGGGCUCGAAAUGUAGUGGAAUCCGGCAGAAACGUC